GAUAAAACAAAAUUCUCACACAAAUCUCACCCCCACCAUGCCCCUGGCUCUCGGUCGAGCUCCUCUCCCCCACGAUCUCGUCGUCGCCGCCACCACCCACGCCGGCCGGUUCCGGCGAUCUCCGGCCGCAUGCAACAUGCCCCCAAGCUCCGCCCUACCCUCCCCUCCAUCCAGAUCCAUGCCUCAAGGUCUGCACCCUUGCCCACGGCUAGGGAUUCGGGCGCCCCCAUGUUCUUGCCGUCGAGUACCCAGGUCGGCCCGCUGGCCAACGAGCAGCACCCCGCACUUACGCGUGCCCAGGCCGACGAGUAGUACGGGGAUUGGCCGCGGACGGAGACGAGUGCAGGCGCGGCAGCAGGAGAAGCUAUGGCAGUGGCGGAUCUGGUGACCGCCGGGUUGGCUCGUCAUUCGUGGCCGGCCGGAGUCGCGGUGAGGCACUGUCGUUGGUGGAUUCCGGUGGCUGGCUGAAGGCCAAUUGCUCUUGGACGCCACUGCAGCUGCUCGUUUCUGAAUUUUCAGUAAUGCGGCUAGCUAUGCCAAGUGCGUUUUCUGAAUUUUCCAGUCCGCGUGAUUGUGAUUCUCGUGUCGUUGAUAGCUUGGAGCAGUCGGUUCCGGUCCAUCUACUACUCGUGACCGGGAAUGAAGGAUCAUGUCGCUGAUAGUUCAGGAUUCCAAGAUCAAAUUAUCUGGGCUGGGGCAAGAAAAGGAACAUGCUCCGGUCUCCGGCAAUCUAAUAGAUUCAGUAAGGACUGUAAGCUGAUCACAUAGUGUUUUGAAGGAGUAAUAUCAAAUAUGUUGCAGGAUUCAUGGUUUGGGAGAAACUUGUGCAUUGAGUUCAAUAUAAGGAAAAGCUUGAGAAGGUUGCCUUUUGUUCUUGCAAGAUGUAGCACUCAUGGUGAUGAUAAAUAUAUUCUUUUCAAUUUGUUUCUGAUAAUGCCUUGCUUUUUUUAUACAAAGUUAUGACCACAAAAUUAUGCUCAUAAAAAAUUAUUUUUCAUCACCAUAUAAAAAUAGCAUAUGUACACAUAAUGUAUCGAAGGGCGCGGCGUGUUGCCGCGUGGGCAUGGCUACUAUAUACUAUGCUAUUGUUACUUAGUGCUCUAUAGGUUACUGUUAUACUGUACUAAAGCUCCAGGUUCUUUUGAGUUCCUAGGAGUGGUCUUGGUUCAUUGUUUAAUUCCAGGAUUUGUGAGUUCCUAGUAGGGAACACAUGGACAUGAAGCUAUGGCGGCGACGAAGGUGAUAUCGACAUGGGGCUGCGGCGACGAUGAUUACGACAACAUCGACAUCAACACAGGGCUACGGUGGCGACCAAGACGACGACAUCGUCA